GCGAGAGUGGCGGAAAUGGCAGACGCGCUAGAUUUAGGAUCUAGUACCCUCGUGGUGUGGGGGUUCGACUCCCCCCUCUCGCA
rnacentral:tRNA from 1 species